rnacentral:lncRNA from 1 species
CCCCCUCCUAUGGCAGAGAUGCCGCCGCCGCCCCCUUCGGCCUUCUUCUCCCUGCGGCUCCCCCCCUUCCUCCAUUCGUCUCCCGUAGGCCUCCCGAAGACUGAUGAUGCCGCCGCCGUCCCCCUCUCCAGCGCAAGAGCCCCGUCGGCGCAGUCCUCUCCUCGCCAUGCUCGACCGCCGUAACCUCCCCAUGGCGCCAGCGUUUCGGACCUCCUUGAGCAGCCUCACAACCCCCCUCGGGUGCGGUGUGACCUGGCCGAGCCUCUGAACUCGUCAGCCGCCCCCCUAGAGCGAUGGCCGCCGGCCCCGUGUGCCCCUCACCUCCUGGUGUCUCGUUAGAGAAGAAGAAAGAAGGAAAGAGAAGCAGAUGUAGUGGUCUCGCGUGGCAGCCCCUCAGGCGCUGACCUAGUGGCCUCGUUGCCAGCGGUAAGUGCCAAUACGUCUUCCAUUUCUAAAAACGCACUUUUGUGCUUCUUCGGCUGAAAGCGUGCUUUCUCUAUUCUGAAGGCGUGUUGCUAUGAAUGCGCUUUCUAUUUUCAGAUGCGUGUGCCGAAAUGGUUAAAUGAUGGGCGUUCGCCCAUUAACAACACAAAUGCACAAAGUUUUAUUUUUUUUCUACUAAAGAACAAACGACCAUAUCGUUUUAACCGUAACUCUGAUUUAGGUAAUUCAAAAGCCUAUGUUCUCAGUGCGUCGAUCCCGUUUUGAUGGUUCCAUUUUCAUAACAAUGUCGUAUGUUGAAAAUGUCAUAUUUGCCCUUCCUCUAUUUUAGGCCCUUCCCGAGUGCACCGGUUCCGACGAUUCGUAUCCGGCGGAUCGUAGCAUUUUCAUUCAGUGCAUCUGUCCUCACCAAGGUAAGCCAACCUCUUAUCAUGAAUCCGAGACUUCUAUGUUGACUUUGGUUGCACCCCGUGUGUGUACGUAACUGUAGUAUAUUCAUGUGUUUGUUUUUUGUGCAUUUCUUGUGUGUCUUAUAUAUGAUCUUAUAGCUUGCCAUGUCAUUCCUUUAUUUUAUAAUUUCUUUUGCUAGAUUAGCUAU